GAUGAACGCUGGCGGCGUGCUUAACACAUGCAAGUCGAACGGUGAACGAGGGAGCUUGCUCCCUCCGGAUCAGUGGCGAACGGGUGAGUAACACGUGAGCAAUCUGCCCUGGACUCUGGGAUAAGCGUUGGAAACGACGUCUAAUACCGGAUACGAGGCGUGGGGGCAUCUCCAACGCCUGGAAAGAACUUCGGUCCAGGAUGAGCUCGCGGCCUAUCAGCUAGUUGGUGAGGUAACGGCUCACCAAGGCGACGACGGGUAGCCGGCCUGAGAGGGUGACCGGCCACACUGGGACUGAGACACGGCCCAGACUCCUACGGGAGGCAGCAGUGGGGAAUAUUGCACAAUGGGCGCAAGCCUGAUGCAGCAACGCCGCGUGAGGGACGACGGCCUUCGGGUUGUAAACCUCUUUUAGUAGGGAAGAAGCGAAAGUGACGGUACCUGCAGAAAAAGCACCGGCUAACUACGUGCCAGCAGCCGCUGUAACAC
rnacentral:rRNA from 1 species